UCGUCGCACCACAGCGCUCGGCCCCUCCCGCGUCGCCAGGUGUCCACGGAUAACUUUGCAAAAUAGUCCUCCAUUUUUCCUCAAAUUAACUCGCAGUCCCAACUUCAGACCUAACGCAACUCCUCCCUCGUCCUUCUCUCCUCUCCUCCGCCGCCACCGCCGCCGUCGCACCUCGCGGCUGCGCGCGCCUCCCAGCUCGCCGCCUCCAAUCCAGCACGGUUGCCGCCACCUCUCCUCAUCUCCCUCUCAUCUCCAUGGCGAGCGGCCCCUUCCCUUGCCGAGCAGUGGAUGCCUAUUCCCACAGGCACUAUGCUCCGACCACCUCUGCUCCUACCGUGGAUCCACGACGACGACUGGGCCCGCCGUGCCGUCGGAAGGUUGGAGGAGGCCUAGGCCUAGUGCUCCACCAGGUAGCUCUUCUUCCCUUCCCACGAGAUGCAUAGCACCACCAGCAAAUCGAAAGCUUGCACAACUCAAGCGUCUUUUGCUCUCUCCUUUCCCCCCACCGAAGCAAGAAGCAACACCAACUCUGGCGUCCUUUGCUCCAAUUGAUUUGCAUCCCAAAUGGAUGGAACAGACCUGAAUCACCUCCUCCCGAUUUGAUCCGCCUGCUAACCGAUCUGAGCCAUGGCCCUAGCUAGGCUGAGGUUCUUAGCUUCUUGCCCUUGGAUUCUUGGUGUGGAGGCGAAACUGGGGAAGGGGAUGGACUCGCUCGCCGCGAUGACCAAGAAGCUGGUGACGACCUUGGCAAAGGUGCGACCUUUAUUAACUUUCUAGGUCUCUUUCGCUGUGAAUUUCUCGGAAUCCUGUUUAGUACCUUUAGUUUUUAGCCCGGAUUAUAACAAGAAGCUUUUUAAUUUUGACCAAUGUUGUGUUUUGAGUGUACAGUUAGUAGAAUUGUUGGUGACUUUGAUUGAACUCCACUGCUAGGUGCAGCCUAUUCUCCCUUUCCUCUUUUUCAGCCUAAAACGGUUUGGCACAAUGCAGGCAAGUAUCAAAUGUUAGUUUCUUGGAUAAAAGCAUAGAGGUAUUUGCUGUCUUUUAUUUCAAACAGAUGCAUGGAGAAUUAUCACAAACAAAUAUUUGUAAUUGCCAUACCUACUUAAUUGAAAGUAUAGCUGAAAUUGGAAUUAUUUUGUGGCUUAUACUGCAAAGAUAUGUGGUUUAUCAUGAUGGGUGUUUUAAUGUGAAACAAUUCUCAGCAUGCACUUCAGAUAAGUCAUGCAUCUUAUCCAGGAAAUCAUAUUUUAUGAGCAGUUAUAAAAUUCUUGUUCAAAAACUCAACUCGUCAUGUGAAUUGCUCUUGCUCAUAAAAGGGAUUGUGUGUGCAGUUGCUUAGUACAUAGAAUUUUGUGAUUUCCUAAAUUCUUUUCACUGUAUAUUUGUGUUCACCUCUGUGUGGGCAUCUGAACAGCUAAUGAUGUGUUUAGUUGUUAGUUAUUCAUGCCAAAUUUUACUGUUCUAAGUGAUUAUUCCCCACAUGUAUUGGAUCAUUCAUGUGCAGCUACUAAUAAGUUUAGUUGCUACAAAUACUCAAUUUUAGGCAGCACAUAGGUUUAAACCUGCAGUUCCAUUCUGUAGAAUUAUUGAUCUUCAUAUGCUAAUUAUAGGUUGAUUAAUGUCUGCUGUAGGUUGGUGAUCAUGAGGAUAUCUCACACAGGUUAGAACUGACUUAAUGCCUGUGGACUUGGAUAGGAGGUUGCAUAUGUCUCUGCAAAGGUUUCACAGUGCAAGCAAGGAUGGCUAGCACAAGAAGACGAUGCACUCCUUCUGUCUACUCAUUGCUCGCUACUUGGCCCGUUUAGAGCUUGUGUCAAACAACUAGAUCUAUUUUUGAAAAUUUAAUAGUAACCUUCCUUUUGUUUCGUAAACUUUAUUUAGUACAUUGCAUGUUUUUAUUUGAAGUUUUGGAUCCAUAUUCCAAGAUACCGGCGGAGAUGUUCAAAUUUAACUGUCCUGUGAAAUAGACUGUCAUUUUAAGACAUCUAGCAUGCAUUCCUUUCUCUAUA